rnacentral:rRNA from 1 species
UGGGGAAUCUUGCACAAUGGGCGAAAGCCUGAUGCAGCAACGCCGCGUGCGGGAAGACAGCCCUAGGGUUGUAAACCGCUUUCAGCAGGGGAAGAAACUGACGGUACCUGCAGAAGAAGAUGCGGCCAACUACGUGCCAGCAGCCGCGGUGACACGUAGGCAUCAAGCGUUAUCCGGAUUUAUUGGGCGUAAAGAGCUCGUAGGCGGUUCGGUAAGUCGGGUGUGAAAAUCUCUGGGCUCAACCCAGAGAGGCCACUCGAUACUGCUGUGACUAGAGUGCGGUAGGGGAGCGGGGAAUUCCUGGUGUAGCGGUGAAAUGCGCAGAUAUCAGGAGGAACACCAGUGGCGAAGGCGCCGCUCUGGGCCGUAACUGACGCUGAGGAGCGAAAGCAUGGGUAGCAAACAGGAUUAGAUACCCUGGUAGUCCACACCGUAAACGAUGAAUGCCAGUCGUCGGGUAGCAUGCUAUUC